GCAGGGCGGCGAUCUCACUCACCCUUUGGGACACAGAAGGUCAGGACGGUUUCCCAGGAAGUCGGGUCCUUGCUGUGCUGGGUUAUGAGGACCAUGCUGAGGUAUGAUACCUACUCUGAUUGGCUGGACAGAACUGCCCUGUAUUUGGGCCCAGGGUAUACAGACGACAGCAUUUAGAUCCCGGGUUGAGCCAGUCAAUGAAGUCAUCGACCCAUGAGGAUGCUGGGAUAGCCAGACCAUCAUUCUGCAGCCUACAUGGUCCAUGGUCCUGAAUCCUGUUUGGAGGAAAAUGGCACAUUUAUCGAAGCACUCAGUGGUGUACUGAAUCUUCUGAGAAAGGGAGGACGACUCACUUGUCGGGGUACUCCGUGGCGUACUGAAUCUUCUGAGUCAGGGAGAAGGGGUCGCAGCCGACGCUGGAGCAUGCUGCGUCCAUGCCUGCUACCGUGGUGAAGUUAAAGCCCCUUGUGGUGACAAAGUACGUCGGGACGCCUACCUCAAAGUACUUGUAUAGGGCAGGGAGACCCACCUUAGGCAUGGCCAGCUCCUGAUCCAGGCCCACCGUCACAUGGAACAUCAGGAAGACCGAAGCGCAGAACAUGAAGAGAAACAGCACCAUCUGAGGGAGGGAGCAGAGCAUUGAGGGUGAGUCUGCUGUCAAGGAAACGAGGGAAGAGGACGGCUGAGAACUGAAAAUGAGGAACAGAAGAUGUGGAAGAAUGCCCACCAGCAGACAACGAGAGACAGGAGUUAGAGAGCAGAAGAACGAGAUAAUAGCAGAAGAAAUAACAAAAGUGAAGGUAAACGAAGAGCAGACUGGUUAAAGCAUGAGAGGGAAUGUUGAGUUUUCAAGCGAAUAUGAGCAGUAUCACAGAGCCAACGAUGGGAACCGCGGAAAGGAAAAGUAAAACGAAGAACUAAAUAUACACGCAUAUAAAACCUAAUACACGUAUGGAGAAGGGAGACGUACUGUAUCAGCGUCAGCUUCUGAUACUUAUAAGUCCCCAGGCCAGAGAACCCCGGCAAAAGAAUCUCCCGGACGGUUGCCGGGGACGGCAGUUUACGUACCACGGUAACCCUGGUGACGGGGUGCAGCAGAACGGGGGCGUAGUAGCGCUUCAUGGCGGGCAGCAGGACGCCCUGGCCGUGAUUGGACGGGCGGGGGGACGACACGGUGACGCAGCAGGCUAGCUCGCAGCGCCCGGCGUCCUGCCGGCGAGCGUCCAGGGACAGCAGCGCCACGAAGGCGGUGAUCUGGAGCGCGAAGUCGAACAGCACGGCUAGCGCCGCGUACAGCGCGAACGACUUCACCGCCGGCAUGCUGCUCAGCCCACCUGAAACACAGAGCACAAACACCCGCCAGCAGAGCGGGUAAUGGGGCCUUACCCAGGAAGAAGCAGAUGGACUCAGACAUGCUGCAGAGGAGCAUGCUGGGAGCCACGUGACCCAGAACUCUGCCGAUCUGUUCUUCUCUGCUCUCUCCCAGCCUACGCUCGUCUCUCUGAGGGGGAGAGAGGAUUUGCAACUUUUACACAGCAGCUCUGGGACAAUCAAAGAGGACCCUGGGACUCACCUUUCAUCAAAACCUGGCCAUCAGUGUGCACCAAGAUAAAGAUGUUGUCAGCUCCCACUGCCAGCACCAGAAAGGGCACCACUUGCAGGAUGACCAGGGAGGAGGGCACUCCAAUCCAGGCAUAGAAGCCCAUGGCGGACAGCACCGAGCAUCCCACCACCAGGAUCCCGCCCAGGCCCACCAGGAACUUGGAAUCCACCUGUGAUACAGCAGUGCCACAGCGCCAUCUACUGUCAGUCCUCCACUAUGACUCACAACUACUAAACCACUUUUGGGGGGGAGAACUAGGCUUCAUGAAUCUCAUGAAGCCUGGUUCUCAUAAUGCAUGGAGAACAGAAUUACUGCAUUGAUAUGGAAGGUUUUCAUUUAGAGCAGCUGCGUUUAAUCUUAUCCCAGAGAGGCUGAUGUAAGUGUCAGCUUUUGCUGAAGCCCUGCACUAAACGCCCAAUUUAACUCAUGAACUUACUUAGUGCUAACUAGUCUUCAAUCAAGGCUUCAGCUUGUUGAAUCAGAUGUUUUGGUGCUAGGAUAAAAAACAAUGCAACACCCACACAUGUAAAAGACUGGACACCCCCUGGUUUAGAGCGUCCCGCUCUCACGUAUUGGACCACAGCAGGACCGUUGUACCAUUGGGUUGCUAGGGGACAUGACCUGCUUACCAAUAUGCGCUUGAAGGAGGAGUACUCCCCGAGCGCCAUGGCGAUGUAGAUGAAGAUCACGGCGUAGCUGAUCAUGAAGAUGGGGAUAUCCUCCGCGGUCGUCCGGUUGAUCUCAUCCUCAAGCGACCUCUAGGGCAGGAGAGACCAGAGUGGUGAGACCAGAACAGGCAGACCAGAGAGGAGAGACCAGAAUGGGCAGGCCAGAGAGGAGAGACCAGAACGGGCAGGCCAGAGAGGAGUGACCGGAAUGGAGAGGUCACAGCAGAGAGACUACAGCAGCAUGUGUGGGCCAGUAUCUAUGAACUGACUUGUCUCUCUAAAGGAAACCCUUGUCUCUUCCUACCCCUUGUUGUUGUACCAUUCCAUGUAUGAUUUUUUUUUCCUUGGUUACUCUGCACAACAUCUUUGUGUUCAUAUACGUACAUCUAUCAUUAUUGGUGAACUGGGUGAUGUUGGGGUGACUGUAUCACUGUCAUUAACUCUUUAAGGUGUGAGUCACAAAUAGGUAAUUAGAAUGUUCUUAACUGAGCAUUUGCAUGCUUAUGUACUGCAACAAACACUACUGGUAAUUAAGAGCAAUAGAGUUCUAGAACAAUGACUUCAAUUUUGAAAAAACAUUCCAUAAAAAUCUAUUCUUCAAAGAGUUAAGGUAAAGUAGGUUCUAAGGAGAUGGCUGUACCUCUGCCAUGUAGGCGAAUGUGAAGUUUGUGGCUGGGUUCCUCUGGUACUCCUGAACGAUGUCCAGGAACAUUUGCUCCCAUUUCUCUACCAGUUUAAAUUUGGGGGUCCCCCUCUGAUAAUUAUUCAGAGAGAAAGUGAGGAUCAGAGCUUCUGCAUUGGUGUAGUCUUCAUCUGGGGGUUGAAUGAGAGAGUUACAACUUCAUAAUCUUUAAAUAAAUAGGGCAGAACAACAGGAACAAAAUGUAUAACUAAUAAUUACCAUAAACAUUGUUCACUGAAAUAAACUGAAGUUAUAAUGAUGAGGCAGGUGAUUUGGAGUCCCUCACACACACACACACACACACACACUGACAUCUGGCCAAACAAAAUGUCAGCCAUUGUAAUACAGAAAUAAUAUCUGAUAUCAAAGAAGAUAAUAUCACGAGAAAGCUUGAGGAAGCUGAAUUCAUUAUGAGAGACUGUUCAGCAAAGAGUCUGAAGAUAAUGUGAAGAAUAUUGAUUGAGAUAAAUGGGGAGGUUCAUUACAAAGUAAAAAAUAAAAAUAGUUGGCAAAUGCUGUCAGCGCACUACUGGGAGAAACUCUUUUGAGCUCACGGGUACUUGCUUGCCAGGCGGUCUCCAUGGAGACCUGUGAGUGACACUUACUCUGGUAUCCACCCACAGCCAGGAAGGGGAAGACCGGACCCCCGUAGUCUGCCAUGCAGCUCAGGCCCAGAUCUGUGAUGUCUUUGAAAGACAGGGGAGAGCUGAAGGUGCACCAAAGCAGGCAAAAAUAUUACUGUUAUAUAAUAGUAACAGUACUGCUGAAACGUAAAAUAGAGGAACUGAGCAUUUUGUGGAUUCUGGUCAUAGUUAUUUUAUGCGUCGUAAGAACAUUUGCUAUUCAUUUUAAAUUCAGUUGGGCACACCAAAUAGCUUCUAGUAUAUUUAUAUUUCUUAUCAAGCUUUAAGUAAACUGCCCCCAGCCCUCUGCACUUAAUUGGCAGUAAAUAGUUUUUAAUUCAGUGGAUUAUGCUCAUAUUUUCAACAAAAGACUUUCAAACUAUCACUUUAAUUCACAUAAAUAAAUCUAUUGUGUUUCUAUCACAAAUAUGAAACAUCUUUUUUAUGGAUAAUACUUGCAUUUUCAAUAAUCAUUGUUAUGGAUAAUGCAUUCAUGAUCGACCUGGAUUUGCGUGCCUGGAGCCCAACCCUCAGCACAGUUCUCUUACUUAACACAGUAAAUGAAGUGGUCCCUCCAGUCCACCUCCUGGGUCACCCCCAGCUCUGUCAUGUUGACCUUGGCAUUCAAAUUGUCCACGCUGUUCUGGAAGUACUGGGGCAGGCCGUUUACGGCACAGUCCGUCAGCGAUGGGUUCCCAGGAUUCAGCGGGGCGAAGCAGAUGUCCUUGAGGCUGGCGGUGCGGUUCAGGUCGUCGGACCAGAACUCGAUGGCCUGGAUCCGCUUCUGCAGCUCCAGCAGCUGCAGGAUCAGGUCCUUGGAGAUGAUGCCACUGAAGUUGUGCAUCCCAAACAGCAGAGAGUCAUAGGCGUGGCUGGGGUAAUUGGGUGCGGUCAGGAUCAGCUGGUUGGUGCGGAAGAAGGGGUCAAAAUGGCUGUCGUGGAAGUCCUUCUCUCGGCGGGCACGGCUGUUGGGGGCAGACCACAGCUGCACGGGGUCUGUGGUCAGUUCGAUGUGCAUCAUGCCUGUUCCAAAAACUGCCACCACCGCUGCUGAAGUCAGCAGCACCUUGAAGGGGUGCCGAGCCAUUAGAGUCCCCCACCUCUGGAACACGGAACCCAGGAACUCCUCCGUAGCCAGGCUGUUCCGGUCCGUGCACGUCACAUCCCCUGGGUCAAUGACCUCAUCCUUGGCCUUGCCCACCUCGUUGCUGUUUUUGUCCUUAACUUUGGUCUUCGCCUCCGCGGCCUUGACGGUGCUGCGGCUGCCGCCAGGUCCAAAAUGGCGUACCACCAGAAAGCCCACAAAGGUGACAGAAAGGAUGACGAAUACAAUGAGGCACACAGCCAGCACGCCGUCCAGUUGACCAAUCAGGAAGGGUGGGGGAGGGGGUGGGGGCGGGGCCACAGCCGGGCAGGACUCCACACAGUCCUGGCAGGAGCACGCCUUGCCACCGGUGUCCGUGGUCUCGUUGCACCUGAGGGCCUUGCCCGCGUAAGGCGCGAUUCCCGGGGGCACGGGGGCACCGUUGGGGAUGAUGCGGAAGUCAAUAUCGAGGGGCGCCAGCCCAUUACUGGUGUCCCCCUGGAAGUCAAGCCAGCGCUGUGGGGUGCAGAGGCUGGCGCCAUAGCGCCCGCACAUGGUGGCUAUGGCAUAGCCGCCCGUGGCUGGAAUCCGCACGUUCUGGCAGGACUUGAAGGAGGCGUCAAUGAACGUCUCGGAGACGUAGGAACGAUAGGCCACCACAGCCUCCUUCUCCUAAAACUCAAAAACAUAAGAACGUAAGAACGACUUAUGAUGAAAACAGAGAAUCCGGCAUUACAUCAAGCUUGGCCUUCAAGUCAAGUCAAAUAAAUAUGUAUUUAUUCAGGACAUUCUAUAAAACACAAGCCAUAAUACACUUCACAGUGUAUCUGGUCCAAAAAAUCUCCACAAAACGAAACCUAGGGUGACGGUGGCAAGAGAAAAAGUACCCUUGGUGGGAAAGUAGGAAGAAGCAUUGUGAGGAACCGGGCUCAGUUAGGGGGAGCCCAUUCUCAUUUGACCAGCCCAGAGUGCAGGUCCGCAGUGGCUAACACGCUCAGGUCAAGUUUAAAAAAAAAAUUUAAAAAUGGCGUAGUUCUAAUGACUUCAGUACCCAGAAGGCCUCCGCCUCCGCUACAGUACCUGGCCCAGGACGGUGACGUUGAUGGUGCGCAGGAUGGUGAGCGUCUGGCUCUGGUCGGGGCUGCAGGUGGUGAUGCAGUGCAGGUGGGCGAAGUUGUCUGCGCAGGCCGGGCAGCGCACCAGGAUGGCCUUGGACAGCGUCAGGCUGUUCUCCAGCGAGGAGAGCUGGUUCAUGGAGCAGCAGGCCGUGGUGUUGCCCUCCCCGCGCGCCAGCAUGGGGCACACCUUCUUCAGCCGCGCGUAGUGCGCGCCCUGGAUCUGGCGGGCGGGGCUGAAGUUCACGCAGGGGAUGAUGGGCUUGAUGAGGCUCCCGUUGACGGACGGGUUCCUGCCGCACUCCUCGUAGAAGGAGCAGUAACCGGGCUGGUUCUUAGCCUCCGCGGUGACCUGCGGAGACGAGCGCCACGGUCAGAAACACGCGUCCACGCGGAGCUUGACCGCAAAGCAACUCUCGCGUUUAUUUUGACAGGGAAAAGUGCACGGCAGGGAAUUCCCCAGUCUAAUCCAAAAUGGACUGAUCGUGAUUUUCACAUGGUGACAAAGGUGAAGGCAAGCAGAACCUCAGUCCCUCUCCUUUGCCCUAGUGCUGUUCAGUGUUUAAGAAACUCGUUCUAAAAUCCUGAUACGGCCUAUAAGCCUUACCGCCGUGUGGUUUGACUUACUAAAACAGGCUCAGUCAGGUGCCGUCCCUUUUCACAGGUUAGCCUCGCACGUGGCCAAACCCCUUAUCACAUGACGGGCUUGCACAUGGCCAAACCCCUUAUCACAUGACAGGAUGGCACAUGGCGGAUGAGCAGGUUGGCUUAUCUAAUCUUCAGAGGUGGUAAUUGAAUGAUUAUGGCCCCUGGUAUCUGCUGUGCAAUAUCAGUGGCUUUUACAUACAGUACUUUAUAUAGUAUAAAUCACCAGAAAGGUGAUGUAAUCUAAUCUUAAUAAUGUAUUACAUUGAAACUUGUCGUUGUCAUUUCCAGUCCUGCUACACUGUCUGUACAGCACUGUAAAACUUCUCCAGUAGCAUGUGCUGUCUUCAAACAGUUUUGCAUUUCCCUGUUCCUCACAGAAUACCUCAUAUAAUGCAUGCAUGUUUUAACUUUGGCUUUAAGUUUGCUGAAUGAUACAUGAUGACUGAUGAUCAGUUUUUCAGUUUUUUGACAAAUAAACAAACUUGAUUUGUCACGGAAAGUGGUUUUUCAGACUGAAAUACCAAUUCUGUGAGACAAUCAGUGGCAGAAUGACAGAGGCAGCCGCUAAUUUUGUGCAAUGAGGAUGGCUGGAGAGGCUCCUUUUGUUUUAUUGAUCUGAGCAAGAGCUGAUAUGGAUGAAAAGUGGGGUUGCUAGCUGCAGACGAGUUUCCUGAAGGCUCUGAUUGUGAACUUGUGGAGAGUUUUAUCCACUGUGUACAUAGACCAUUAAUAAAUGGUGUAUUUAUGGUGAGUCCAAGUUCUGUGCGUGGUGCCACCCAAACCACAAAGGGGCUGGGUAUUCCUGAUAAAUUAAUUCUUUAGGGACUGUUAGGAUUGUUUUGAUGACAAGAUCACUAACUUCAAAGUUAGUUGAUAUAUUUGUUCUCUGAAGCACAUUAAAACAGUGUGAUACUCGAA